rnacentral:rRNA from 1 species
GACGAACCGUCCUAACGUUGUUCGGAAUCACUGGGCUUAAAGGGCGCGUAGGCGGGUCUCCAAGUCGGUGGUGAAAUCUUUCAGCUCAACUGGAAAAGUGCCGCCGAUACUGGGGAUCUCGAGGGAGGUAGGGGUCGAUGGAACUAAUGGUGGAGCGGUGAAAUGCGUAGAUAUCAUUAGGAACGCCGGUGGCGAAAGCGAUCGACUGGACCUCUUCUAACGCUGAGGCGCGAAAGCUAGGGGAGCAAACAGG